AGUGUAAUUUUAAAAUCAAAAAACAAAAUAAGAAAAUCAAAGUGAAGUGGCAUUUUUUUUCUCUUGAGAAUCUAGAAUCUAGAAAUGUGUAACUUUUUGAAUUUUUAAAUGGUCAGCAAGAUUUUUCUUUUACCUUACUUACAUAUGCAUAUAUAAUAUAUGUGAAUGUGUUUGUAUGUAUGGAGAUGUAUGUAUUUUUUGGGAGGUUGUUUAGAAGUUCGUUCUUUUAUAUGUAUGUAUGUCUGCAUUGGAAUAUGUAUAUGUGUGUCUGAGUCUGAGCCAUGCUGGGUGUAUGUGUUGGGUACACAUGCAAUGAGACAGGCCAAAGGAUUUACCAUUUGCUGGUGAAUAUGCCAGCCAGUUAACAAUGUGCCACCACUUGUGUCAAUUUAGCUUUCACAGAGUAAGCUCUCUCAUUUUGACCAGUUCUCCUCUUUACGACAGUGCGAGUGCCGCCAGUCAGUAACAUGGACCCUUACUCAUGGAAUAAUACUGGGUUGCCGUCUUUCAUAUCCGUUUAGUGUUGCGUGUGGUGAAAAUCCAAAGAGCGAACAAACGAGUUGCAGUGUUGUGUUUAUUCUCCUCAAAUGAGUCUCUAUGUCGAACGAAGGCACAAAAGCUUCGGCAUUUCAGUGAGUGCGGCAAAAAUUCAUCAAAUUUCAUUCUCAGUUUUAUUCCGACUGUUUAGGGCGGUUCCGCAAGCAGGUUGCAAAGUAGCCAAAGGAUGUGCUUAAGUUAACUGAAAAAAAGGCAAAAGAAAAAAAUAAAAUUUAAAAAAGUAAUAAACAUAAAAAUAUGUAAAGAAAAAGUAUACCAACUAAAUAAAUAAAAUAAAAAAAAUAUAUGUAUUUACAAAGACCUUAACUAUUAAAUAAAUGAAAUCAUGAUUACAUGAGUGGUUGAAAACGUUUUCAGAGGCAAAGAAAAAAAUUAAUGCACAUAAAAAGGUGAAUAAUUUUCUUUGGAAUUUUCGAUUUGAAUUGAAACACAGAAAAAAUAAAGUGUAAAAAUAAGUGAAAUUGUUAAAAAAAAAAAAAAAAAACAAAUCUUUGACAAAUUAAAAAUAAAAUUCCUUGAAGCUGUUUUUUUGGGCGCUGCUUGCUGCUUAUUGUGAAUGUAUAGUAUAAAGGACCCUGAAAAUUAAACGGCCGAACGAAAAAUAUUUGAAGUCACGCAUCGAAGAAAAACUUGUUUAUCAAAUAUUUGAGAAUAAAAUCCAAUAAAAGAUUUGUGUGAAUAAAAAAGAGCAUGUACUAGUAUUGGUGCCUUUGCUUUCGUGUUAAACUAAUAUAAUUAAAUUGAAAACAGAAAAACAAGAUUUUUUGAAAAUUUCGAAGUGUACUAACUACAAGCCAGUGCGACGAAAUUGUGAAUAAAGCUACGUAUUAAAGCUUUUACCAAUUCUCAGCAAAUACAACCAGCACAGAGGCAAGAAGGAGUAACUCAGUUCGCAAAUGCCACAAUAGAAUCUCUGAACACAAGGAGACGGUAAGUUUGCAAUCAAUUGAAUAGAUUGUUUUCAAUUAAUUUCGAUUAGGGUUAGGAACUUGUGCAUGCAUUGACUGCACUUAGUUAAGAAAAUGUUUGCCCGGAAUUGCUAACACAAAAGCUGAUGAUAUUGGGUAACAUGUAUUAGCUCGUGUAGCAGAAAAUCUCAGUCGAAUAGUCGAUUCAAUGGAAAUAAACAAAAGGAAAAAUCUAUACACCUCCGCUUAUCUUCUUCGCAGUUUAGGUAUCGCUUUGCGGAUGCCGGU